CUUAUAUAACAUUCAAGCAACUGAUUGUAUUCCCUAUCUUCUUCUUUUUUUCACCGUAGGCCGUAGCUUCUUCUUCAUCAUUUUUGUUGGAGAUGGUGUUUAAGAGAUUCCUGUGUUCAAAACUUCUUUUUUCGAAAAAAGAAACUAAGAUCUUUCUCAACAACUUAGAAAGGGUAGAGGAAAGAGAUGGAGAAGAAUCCCAACGGGUUUUGACAAAAAGAAAAGUCCCAACAGACAAGUUCAAAAAAAUGUUUUUUUUUUCUUUUAUCAUUAAUCAAGCAUUUAUAUUUCUACCCAUUACAGAUAUUAAACAUAAGAAUAACUAUUUCUUUG